rnacentral:rRNA from 1 species
AACGAACGCUGGCGGCAUGCCUAAUACAUUCAAGUCGAACGAGACCCUUCGGGUCGUAGUGGCGCACGGGUGCGUAACGCGUGGGAAUCUGCCCUUGGGUUCGGAAUAACAGUUGGAAACGACUGCUAAUACCGGAUGAUGACGAAAGUCCAGAGAUUUAUCGCCCAGGGAUGAGCCCGCGUAGGAUUAGCUAGUUGGUG